AAUGGGAUAGCUGGGUCAGAUGGUGACUCCAUUCCAGGUUUUCUAAGGAAUCUCCAUACUGCUUUCCAUAUUGGCUGCACCAAUUUGCAGUCCCAUCAGCAAU
rnacentral:pre_miRNA from 1 species